UACGUAGGGUGCGAGCGUUAAUCGGAAUUACUGGGCGUAAGCGUGCGCAGGCGGUUUUGUAAGCCAGAUGUGAAAGCCCCGGGCUUAACCUGGGAAUGGCAUUUGGGACUGCAAGGCUAGAGUGUGGCAGAGGAGACUGGAAUUCCUGGUGUAGCAGUGAAAUGCGUAGAUAUCAGGAGGAAUACCGAUGGCGAAGGCAGGUCUCUGGGUUAACACUGACGCUCAUGCACGAAAGCGUGGGGAGCAAACAGG
rnacentral:rRNA from 1 species